rnacentral:rRNA from 1 species
UACGGAGGAUCCGAGCGUUAUCCGGAUUUAUUGGGUUUAAAGGGUGCGUAGGUGGAUUGUUAAGUCAGUGGUGAAAGUUUUCAGCUCAACUGAAAAAUUGCCGUUGAAACUGUCGAUCUUGAGUGCAAAUGAGGUAGGCGGAAUGUGUUGUGUAGCGGUGAAAUGCUUAGAUAUAACACAGAACUCCGAUUGCGAAGGCAGCUUACUGGGAUGCAACUGACACUGAUGCACGAAAGCGUGGGUAUCAAACAGGAUUAGAUACCCUGGUAGUCCACGCAGUAAACGAUGAAUACUAGCUGUAUGCGAUACACCGUAUGUGGCACAGCGAAAGCGUUAAGUAUUCCACCUGGGGAGUACGUUCGCAAGAAUGAA